rnacentral:lncRNA from 1 species
UUUUUUUGAUAUAUAAAGAAUAAUCCAUUUGUUAAAAACAUAAAGCUUUGCUAAUUAAUUUGUAUCUUUUAAAAAAAGUAAUCAAGAGCAAAAAAAUUAUAAACAUAAUACCAACCCCACAAAUGUUUUUAAAAAAAAAAAAAAAAAGAACUUUUAUAUGAUGAAUAUUGAAAAAAACAUAGUAAAUGAGAUAGUUAUAAAAGUGAAUGAAACACAAGAAAUCGCUAGAAAUGUUAAAAACGAUGAAAACAUCAGAGCAAUUUCUACAACUAAUGACUUAAUAUUAGCAGGGACUAAUGGCUUAGCUUUAAAAAAAGGAUGUAGUCAAAAUAACCUAAAAUGCGAAAAAAGUGAGCGAAUAAAAGAGAUUACAUUAAAAAAUAGUGAUGCAAUAAGUAGCAACAUUAACAGUAGUAAUAAUAACACGAGUAAUAAUAACACUAGUAGUAUUAAUAUAACUACCGGUAAUAAUAAUAUAACUACCGGUAAUAAUAAUAUAAGCACCGAAUAUACUAAUACAAGCACCGAAGAUACUAAUACAAGCACCGAAGAUACUAAUAUAAGCAACCAUGGUACCAAUAUACCCAACAGUACUACCAACACAUGUAACAGCAAUAACCACUUAGUAAUCUACAACAAUGAUGUAAAUACAAAUAAUACUAUAAACGAGUUAAACAGUCAAAAUAGUAAACUAUGCAACACUGGAAGUAGUACUACUACUACUACUACUAAUAAUAAUAAUAACAAUAAUAACAAUAAUAAUAGUAAUAAUAAUAAUAAUAACAAUAAUAACAAUAGUAAUAAUAGUAAUAACAAUAGUAAUAAUAGUAAUAACAAUAAUAAUAAUAACAAUAAUAACACUAAUAACACUAAUAAUAAUAACAAUAAUAACAAUAAUAACACUAAUAAUAAUAACAAUAAUAAUAAUAGUAAUAGCAAUAAUGCUAAUGUCGGUGUAUAUAAUAGUACAGAAAAUAAUUUCAAUGAAAUUGACAUUCAUAUUGAUGAUGCAGUUGACAGCAUAAAUAACAGUUUUGUUAUAGAAGAAGAAACUAUUAUAUCUAAAAGAGCAAACCGGAAUUUCCACGUGUGCUCUAUUUUUUUUCAUUCUAUUCUUUUACUGUUGAUACUUUUACUCAUGAUUAUAUUAUAUUAUGAUUUUAUUGAAUUAGUUAUAUUUAAAAAAGAAAAUAUAUUAUUAUUUUUUUGUGGUUUAUUAUUAACUUUCUUAUUUGUGCA